GAUGAACGCUGGCGGCGUGCCUAAUACAUGCAAGUCGAGCGAACAGACGAGGAGCUUGCUCCUCUGACGUUAGCGGCGGACGUGUGAGUAACACGUGGAUAACCUACCUAUCAGACUGGGAUAACUUCGGGAAACCGGAGCUAAUACCAGAGAAUAUAUUGAACCGCAUGGUUCAAUAGUGAAAUACGGUUGUGCUGGCACUUAUAGAUGGAUCCGCGCCGGAUUAGCUAGUUGGUAAGGUAACGGCUUACCAAGGCAACGAUGCGUAGCCGAGCGGAGAGGGGGAUCGCCCACACGGGAACUGAGACACGCACCAGACGCCUACGGGAGGGACCAGUAGGGAAUCUUACGCAAUGGGCGAAAGCCUGACGGAGUAACGCCGCGUGAGUGAUGAAGGUCUUGGGAUCGUAAAACUCUGUUAUUAGGGAAGAACAAAUGUGUAAGUAACUAUGCACGUAUUGACGGUACCUAAUCAGAAAGCCACGGCUAACUACGUG
rnacentral:rRNA from 1 species